rnacentral:rRNA from 1 species
UACGUAGGGCGCAAGCGUUAUCCGGAAUUAUUGGGCGUAAAGAGCUCGUAGGCGGUGUGUCGCGUCGGCCGUGAAAACCUGCAGCUUAACUGUGGGCUUGCGGUCGGAUACGGGCAUCACUGGAGUUCAGCAGGGGAGACUGGAAUCCUGGGUGUAGCGGUGAAAUGCGCAGAUAUCAGGAGGAACACCGGUGGUGUAGACGGCUAUCUGGACCGUAACUGACGCUGAGGCACGGAAAGCGUGGGUAGCAACAGG